rnacentral:lncRNA from 1 species
UUAGGGCAGGAGUAGACAUUUGUGUCUUAGUGAUUUGCCAAAAUAGUAAGCUUGGUCUUUAUUGGGUUUCCUAGGCAAUUCGAAUUUUGGUUCAGGAACGGCUAACACAGGAUGCAGUUGCUAAAGCAAAUCAAAUGAAAGAGGGCUUACCUGUUGCUUUAGACAAACAUAUUCUUGGCUUUGACACAGGCGAUGCAGUUCUUAAUGAAGCUGCUCAGAUCCUGCGGUUGCUACACAUAGAAGAGCUCAGAGAGCUACAGACGAAAAUUAAUGA